ensembl:lncRNA
UGGCUGAAUAAUCUUCUGGUUUGAUGAUUGGCAGAUAGUUUAAAACUUUUUGCUAAGGCUGAGAAUAAGAAAAGAGAAAUGCUAACUGAAAAAAACUACAACAGAUGUCUGAAUGCAUGAAUUAUUCCCAGAUUUUUGGCUGAUCUUAACAAGUGGUCAUUGAUCUCUCUCUGGAAUUGCUGCACGGAGGAUGUGACGCCUAUGUAAAGUGCUGAGGUUUGUCUCUGUGUUAGGAUGAAGCCAUCCUCAGCUUCAGAUCCCCUGUGCCACCUGCUCCUGGAUCAAAGACUUCCUCACCAACUGACCUCAAUCAGUUCAACUACUUCCAAGCACUUUUUUCUCCAAUGUGUGCUGUUCUAUUGUUUUAUAUAUAUUCCUAUGGUUUGUCUAUAUUCCUCUUGAUUGUGUUAAUUUUUCCUGUUUGUCAUUUAUUGGUGCUGUCUUGCUAUUUAUGUUUUAUUCCAGUUUUAAUUUCGUUAUACAUGUGACAUGUGACAUGUGACAACGACAAUAAAG